AAAAAGCCUAGAAGGAGGAGAGAUGACUAGAAACGAUUCGUUUGACCGUUUUAUGUGUGGAUUAAUUGUCGGAGUAGAGGACCUUGUGCAUUUCAGAUGUCACCCAGGCAGAUGUCACCCAGGCAGAUGUCAGGCAGAUGUCACCCAGAUGACAGGCAGAUGUCACCCAUAUGUCAAGGCAGAUGUCACCCAGAUGACAGGCAGAUGUCACCCAUAUGUCAAGGCAGAUGUCACCCAUAUGUCAAGGCAGAUGUCACCCAUAUGUCAAGGCAGAUGUCACCCAGAUGAUAGGCAGAUGUCACCCAUAUGUCAUGGCAGAUGUCACCCAUAUGUCAAGGCAGAUGUCACCCAUAUGUCAAGGCAGAUGUCACCCAGAUGAUAGGCAGAUGUCACCCAUAUGUCAUGGCAGAUGUCACCCAGAUGUCAAGGCAGAUGGGUUUUGUUUUUUUACUCUGGAUUAGUACACUUUUGUAUUGUCAUAUGUUCUCAAUUU
rnacentral:lncRNA from 1 species